AUUGAAAACCAAGAAGCCUUGGAGCCCAGUACAGUUAUCAGCAAGUUUUCGGAUACGAUCCAAGCAGAGAUCAACAAUCUCUUUGCCAAUUGUAUAAUGGCCACGAGCGAAAUUGUUGGCAGCAUCUUCUUUGCCACUGAUGAGUUGCUCAGGGUGGAACAACUGGCGGUACGUACCAGUCCUCACUUCAUCGAUAACAGUAGGCUCCAGAUCAACAAAGAUGGCGCGAGGGACGUGCUUCCCGGCACCAGUUUCGCUGAAAAAGGUGUUGAAAGCAUCGUCUCCUCCACCAACAGUCUUAUCACUUGGCAUUUGGCCAUCAGGCUGAAAAAAAUAAAAUUCUAAAAAG
rnacentral:lncRNA from 1 species